UACAGAGGGGGCAAGCGUUAUUCGGAAUUAUUGGGUUUAAAGGGUGCGUAGGCGGCCCUGUAAGUCAGUGGUGAAAUGCUCUAGCUUAACUAGAGAGGUGCCAAUGAUACUGCAGGGCUUGAGUACAGAUGAGGUAGGCGGAAUUGACGGUGUAGCGGUGAAAUGCAUAGAUAUCGUCAAGGAACACCGAUAGCGAAGGCAGCUUACUGGGCUGUAACUGACGCUGAUGCACGAAAGUGUGGGGAUCAAACAGG
rnacentral:rRNA from 1 species